UACGUAGGGUGCGAGCGUUAAUCGGAAUUACUGGGCGUAAAGCGUGCGCAGGCGGUUUUGUAAGCCAGAUGUGAAAUCCCCGGGCUUAACCUGGGAAUGGCAUUUGGGACUGCAAGGCUCGAGUGCGGCAGAGGAGAGUGGAAUUCCUGGUGUAGCGGUGAAAUGCGCAGAUAUCAGGAAGAACACCGGUGGCGAAGGCGGGUCUCUGGGCCGAUACUGACGCUGAGGAGCGAAAGCGUGGGGAGCGAACAGG
rnacentral:rRNA from 1 species